CCCAGGCCCCAGCCCCCACCCGGACAAACCCUAGCCUCACCAAGCCCCACAUCUCGCGCUCCUCCCUCCUCCAUCCUCGUUAGCCGCCGCCGCCGCCGUUCUGCCUCCCUCCUCUCUCCCCUACAACCACGUCGCUGGGAGGAAGCCGCCGUUCGUGUCGCCAUGCCGCUGCCGGGGUGUUGCGCACGCUUCGUUCCCCACAGCCCCUCCCUCAUCCCCGCUCAUCACCGCCGCUGCCUGCUACUCCCGGGGCGGCCGAGCGCCAACGGUGCGGCAAUGGCUGUUCCAGGAGGCGAGGGCGAGGGCACGGGCGUUGGGCGUUGGGUGCGUGGACAAGGAGGGAGGAGUCAACUUGAGGGAGGAGAUGAGAGAGGUGAGGGUUGGCAGCGAUUGCAGGGAGAGGAGGAGGAGUCUGGAGGCAACGGACGAUUUUUUUAGGGUGGUUGGCGACCUACAGCCUACAGGCAACGGUGAGCUCUCCCUUUCCCUGACUACGCUCCUCUCUCACAUCAGAUCGAAUCGGACCCCUGAUUUCUUUUUCUGUUUGAUUCAGUCUGUAGCAGCAGCAGGCGACCUGCAGCAGCUCCUUCCUACCUUCCAUGGACGAGCUCUUCGGAGACGCCGUCCAGCCCGACCACGGCCACGACUACCCCACGCACAAGGUCCCUUCCUGCUCCCCCACCUUCUUCCAUGGAUCAAGACGCUACAUACACUGCUGCUGCUGUUUUUCAAAUGAAUGAACGAAACUUCCUUCCUUAUUUCUAGAGGAAGGUUGAUUCAUUUGUCAAAUUCAUUCCACCGAAGCCAUCUGCUCCGUCCACCAACCCGCCCAGAAAGGUAGUUACAGUGAAUUGAUGUUCGCACUGAGGCCGGAGGCGAGAGGCGAGGGCACGGAGGUCGGUGGCAAGUGCUCAGGAGAGAAGAGGAAGGCGGCGGCGCUGGGCGGUGGCUGCGGUUUACAUGAGAGGGAGGUGACCCGCCCAGAAAGGUAGUUACAGUGAAUUGAUGUUCAUAUGAACUUCAAUGAUGUGAACUUUUUAUUAGAUCUGAGUUGCAAUCCUCAAUUUUUUUAGGUUUGAGUAGCAAUGCUCCUGCUCUACUAGCUAUGACAUUUUCCAUGCUUUUUCUUCUAAUAUCGUAUAGCGUCCAUGCUUGUGGGUUCAACUUGACGAGCUUUUUUCACCUUCCAUCCUGUUUUAAGCUCUGUUGAUGGAUGAUUUCUGCCAUAUUUAUGGAGGGGGAGGACGCCAACUACUAGGAGAAGGAUCAGUUUAGCAAGUACAGGAUGUAAUUCUCUUAUGAUUAUGGGUAGAUGCCUGCUUUAUUUAGUUACCAGAGUUGUUCACUAUUGAAUAUGCAAAUUCAACAUCCUUUAUAUAAUGGGAUCUUAUGAACUCUUUUUGAAGAUUGCUGAGAAGCGCAACCUUUUGAUCUUCGAGAAGCGCAACCUUUUGAUCUUCGAGAACCGCAAGUUUGCUGACAUUGAAAACACAUUCAUUAUGCAAGAUGAAUGGUGAGAAAUGUGUUAUUCCCUAUCCUUCCAUUCUAUUUGCAUAUUCGCGCAGUAUGCUUAGUUUUUUCCUUUCAAGAUGAAUAUUCUACACAUGAGAGCAAUAUACUUGGUAUUAUUCAUGCUCAUAUAAUUCCUGGACCUGGAAUUGUUGAUGGCUUGAGGCUUAAAGUAUGUUAUGUGUUGCAUACCUAAUAAAUAUUAGCAAGCUAAUGUUGCAGCUUGACAGAUGCUGUGAUAACUUCUCCUUUUUCUGUUUGUUAAUAUCCACUUCGAACUGAGCAGCCAUGAUCCGGAUUUCCUCUAUGUAGCUAUGAGAUGCAUGCAGUUCGUUAUUGUGUAUCGUGUGCUAAAACAUUGAUUAUUUGACAAUGAACACAUGGCAAUGCCUUAACUAUUCAACUUGCCUAGCUCAGUAUUUUAACCAAUAGAGAAGUUUUUUUGUUGCUUUCCCUUUUGUUAGAUAUUUUGCUUUUUGUAUGUUGAGGGGAGAUGGAUAUGGCCUCAGGACUAAACGCACAAACCACAUGAAGUGAUCUGAUGGUAGGUAAAGUAUUUUUAUUGGCAAUGCUAAUGUCUGGACCAGCUCAAUGGUUUUAACUCUAUGAUGUUCUGUUUAACAUAUCACAUGUACAAAUGCAUAUAUACAAAUUGUGGUAGGCAACUCACUAUUUAGACGACACGACUAUUCUCUUGAUAAGGAGAGUCCCACCAUACUCAUGUGAGAGUUAGGCGUGGUAGUGGGUAGUGUUUUCUCAUCAUCCAUUAUGUGUUUCUUCUGUCUAGCUCGAAGUUGCUUAGUUAGAUAAUGAUUCGCAAAUUCCAGCAUUGCAUGUUGCCUGACACUUUUGCAUUAGCAUUGAAUUGCAUCCUGCAUUUUUGCAGCCCGCGAGGCGUGUAAAUGUUGGACUAUUGUUUCUCCGCUGAUGCACAUGUUUCGCCACAGAGACAGUACUCUGUGUGUGUGUGAUCUCUGGAAUUAGUUUUUAUGUUUCUCUUUGUUGAGUACUUUUGUAAUCUCCACGGGUGUGUUUCGUAUUUUCUAUGUAUCCUCUGUCAUUCUUUUAAGUGUUUAAUGUUUUCUUUUGUAGUUUUGAUAUUUAGGUGCAGUCACGUUUCAUUUGUCGCAUACCUGCACCCGUUAGGAAAAUCAUAGUUUCAUUUCAAUCAUGUUUCUUUAAGUUGUUCAGUGUUUGUUCAUUAUGUAGUAGAGUAAGCAGUACAUUCUGUCCAUCAGUUAAAUCACUCAUGUCACAUUCAGUUGAUUGAUUAGGUUUAGUUUUUGUUCAUUUCUCUUUGUUCCUUCAGUUUUUUGUUCCUUUAUUUAGUCAUUGUGCUUGCAUCAUUUGCCAGUAUUUUAGUCCAUCUCAAUAGACCCCUAUGAUUCUUGAUAGUUUAUCUCUUUCGUAGAUCAGACUUUUCCACUUUGUUAGUUAGGCUAAUUUAUGCUUUUUUCAGUUUUUAGUCUUUACAUGAUUUAGUUGGACAAUGUUUUUGGUAUUUCAAUAGUUCAGUAGUUUCAUACUUUCAUUUAAUUAAAUAGUCUUGUUUUUAGUCUCAGUACUUCAGGUUUAGUUUCCAAACAAGUACUUUUUUACUCAUGUGGGUUUCGGUCUUUUGACUAUAUGUGGUUUUCAAUCUUUUCAUCUCUUGGUUUACUUGUCAUUCUUAAUUUAUCCGCCUUACUAUUCUCAGUCUUGUUUUUUAUUGAGAGACACAACCUUUUCAAUACACUUCUAUUUUAAUUUUUCAUAACAACGGCUGUUUUUUUGUUGCAACUUUGACUCUAUGCUAUUAAAGUAAACCAAGUAUAUUAAAAUAAACCAACUAUAUUCAUAUAUGCCUCAGUAAUUGGUACAGCCGAUUUUUAUCGAGAGAGACAACAUUUCAAAACACUUAUAUCUUCAUUUUUCAUACCAACGAAUAUUUUUUGUGCUGACAUGUGAGUUAAUUAUUUGGAAAAAAUAUAAUCAUGUAUGUAUUGCCAACAAUUUUUAUGUUUAAAGCAACCAAUUUUGUGAAAAGAGUGGAGAGAAAGAUACAUGUGCAAUUUCUCGAUGUUACAGCGGAUGGAUGCUAGAUCUUUAAACAUAAGCACAGAUGAAUAGGUACAAAUUCGAGGAAAGGCCAAUGAAAUAGUUGUCUGUACACAUAUGUGCCAGUUUUAUACCUGGUUGUCUGGUUGCAUUAUUUGUCCGGUUUCAAUUCAGUUUGAGUAGAUUGUUAUCCGUGAGCGAUACUUGCCACUAUUUGUACCCAUGCACCAAUUUACAUACCUAUUUUAGGCACAGAAACCAACCAUGACUGAAAAUUAUGUAUAUAUAAUUUACUAUGAUUCAUGGUGAGAAAAUCAUGAUUUAAUAAACGAAAGGUGGUUUGUUUUGCUAACAGUACUGAGUAUAAAUGUAAAUCGCAGAUCGUACGCUGCUGCUACGGGCUCCAUGUUGUUUAUGCUAGACAACACAAUGGUGCUUGUGUUAUCUAUAGUUGAAGUCGCAGUUUAAUAUUCUUUGCUUUAUGCUUGUGUUAUAUGUGGUUGAAGGGACAUCCUUGUUAGUUUGCAUGGUCUAUGUAAGAAGGGGCAGUACAAUGCUUCUCAAGGUUGUUUAUAUUUUGAUGGCUGUUGAAUUCUGGACAAUGGAGAUGUGAAUUUGUUACGUACAUAGGUACUAGGCAUAGGAUACUUUACUCAUUGAUGACAUGUAGUUUUAGAGAACUUCUAAAAAUUCCAAUUCAGGUUUUCUGUGUUCCAUUCAGGAAGAACGCAUAGUCUGCACUGGGGUAUAAAAUUAUCUACUACUUACCUUUGUGUCUCGACAUAUGAUUGUGAUGCAUCGUGCUGCCAGAGGCCAACAUUAUCCAGUAUCAUAGCGAUGCUAAAAAUGACUAUUGGUUACUCCGCAUAUUCUCAUCUGAUUUCUCAUAUAUAGAUAUUAAUUUCCUUUCAUGGGAGGCCUUCAUUACAUUUCAGCGGCGGUUGCGGAUGUGAUUGGCGGUUGAGGGAGGGUCUCCGACUAGAGCAGCAGGAGCAAGGUGCUCGAGGAAGUUCAGGUUUGCCUCUAAAUCCUCUCUCUUUCCUCCACUUUGUUCUUGCAUUUAGAUGAUACAAUUUGUGAUCAUGUGUAUGUGCAUUUAUGAGAUCUUUGCUGCUAGGCACAGAGUUUAUGGUUACUGAAAUUGGGUAAUAAAACAUGGUUGUUGUGCCUUUUUUCCUUGUUCUUUUUAAAUGCAACAUGACAGUAGCCAAUGUCAUAUAUCAGGGUUGUAAACCUAUUAGAUUUGGGACAGAGGAAAGUAUGAAGAUCUUCUUAUUAUUGCAAAGUAAAAGUUGAUAUUAGUGCCAACUUAGGUGAUCUGGUCCGAAGGGGUAUCUCAGCUUUAUGAGUUGAUAGUAUAUUUGCAUCUAAGAAUAAACCUUAGCUUUUAGAUAGAAUUUAUGAGUGAAAGUAUUCUGGUGUAUACCAUCCUUUGUGCAGGAUUGUCAUGGUUAUUGUGUAUGUCAAUUUUGUUGACAAAAUAGAUCCAAAUGAUAUCUUUUUCAGUGUCUUAUGGUAGAUAUAUUUGGUCUACUGUUUCAUGCAUUCUUCGGCUUUAUGAUUAAUAUUCCCAGAUAUUUGAACAAAAUUUAGCUAUUAAAUAUACAUCCCAGGAAAUUUACAUUAUUAUAGUGGGGCACUCCUUUGCACGGUUUUCAGUAUAAGAGAUUUAACCUUUUUUGCAGUAUCAUUCUCCCUGACGGAUUACAUGUAGGUUGUUGUUCUAAUUACAAGCAUGCUUUCAGCUCAUGGUUCUUAUAUUUUUGUAUUUUCCAUAGGACAAUUUUCUGGAUUAAUAUCUAUACUGGAGAUCUAGGAGUCCACCCGAAUUCAGUCUCCAAGAAGCCGUUCAUCCAGGAUCCACCAAAGUUCAAAUGAUAUGUGAAAAGCGUGUGCUAGAUGUGGCCCCUAUCCAGCGUUUUGACCGGUCCACUCAGGUGCUUUUGUCUAGGUGGUAACACAACAAGCUGCUUAUAUUAUAGAAACUUAUUAUACGUACAUUCGUAUGUUCAUUCUGCUUGCAUGUUAGAGAAAGAGCUUCUGCCCCUAUGUGAGUAAUCCUAUGGGAAUUAGCAACGUUGGUUGUACUUUCAAGCGGGCUGAAUCUAAUGCAAGUUUUUGGAGCAGUUGGGUUCCAGAACAAACGACUAGGUAUUCCCAAAGAGGUCAUUCCACUGGUGGCUAGCAUAAUAUCUUCAUGUCGGGACAAGUAAGAUGACAUAUCAUUUCUUAAAUAAUAUGCCGCUGUUCUCAAUUUUUAUUUCCUCUUCUUUUCUGCUACUUGCCUCACUAACUAUGACCUCAACGAUCUUUGGUGCAGCGAUCCAAGCAAGCAACCAUCAUUCUACCAGCUCUUGUCAUCGCUGAAGAAAUUACAGUGGUUACAUUGUUACAGAAAGCCUAUGACAAUUUGCGAGUGUUUGUGCAAUAUACUGGUUUUAUGGCAGGUGCAUGUAUGAAUUCAGAUGGUAGUGGUCUCCUUGUUUAUAGUUAUAAGAAUAAUAAAAAUAUUGAUAAUGGUCUUUCCACUAUUACAAUCUCAUAGAUUACAUUACCUGCUUCCAUUAGAAAGGAAUUGUGGCUCACAACCGUUUUUUAUUGAGAGACACAACCUUUUCAAUACACUUCUAUUUUAAUUUUUCAUAACAACGGCUGUUUUUUUGUUUCAACUUUGACUCUAUGCUAUUAAAGUAAACCAAGUAUAUUAAAAUAAACCAACUAUAUUCAUAUAUGCCUCAGUAAUUGGUACAGCCGAUUUUUAUCGAGAGAGACAACAUUUCAAAACACUUCUAUCUUCAUUUUUCAUACCAACGAAUAUUUUUUUGUUCCGGCUUUCACUCUAUGCUAUUAAAAUAAAUCAACUACUUUA
rnacentral:lncRNA from 1 species